AGCGCCCAGGGAGGGCGUGCUGACGUCACGACGCCCGGGUCAAGGCCUGGGCGCGGCUCCGAGCCGGGUUGUCGCUAUAGCAAUCGGGAACCGCUACCUGGCGCGUCCAAGGAUUCGGCCCACCUGAGGCGUGAGGAGGUGACGGAGGCCCCGAGGGCUCUGCGCCGUCACUUCCGCGGCUUGCGGGCGAGAAGGUGCGCUUUGGGAGUAGCGCGGGAGGACAGGAGGUGCAGGUUGUGGAGGGACGCAGGCCCGGGGACUGCCCUCUCUCUCCUCCGAGCUCAGAGCCCCGAAGGCUUUCUCCCGGCUGCGCGCUCAGCACUCGCUGCCUUACUGUCCCGAAGCGCUUUAAGGUGCGCAGUUCGCAGGCCUUGCCUACUGAUCUUCCUUUGAAGGGAGCAGUUGCAGAUUUGGACUGCCCUUCCCUGGCCCAGCUCUGCAAGCCACCCACAGUUCUUUCUCAUGACGAGGACGUCCCCACACUCAUCCUCAGAUGGCAGGAAGAUCUCAGCGGGUGCAGAAGUUCUGACGAAAGUCGGGCUGAUAGGAGCCCAUGGCACAGCGAAUACAGCGAUGGAUGCUGGUGUCAUAGUAGUGCCCUGGGGAGCACUGGACUGCAGGCAAGGGAGAAAGGCAGGAAUCAAGAUGGUGGGCAGGUGAAGCCAUGCCUCUCUUUUCCUCACCUGUGGAAACUGGGUAUGAGGACAGAGGACAUCAGGAAAGAAGCCAGAGCAAAAGGAACAGUGAUGAUGGGACAGGGUCUCACUGUAUUGCCCAAGCUGGUCUUGAACUUGAGCAAUCCUCUCAUGUUGGCCUCCCAAAGUGCUGGUAUUACAGGUGUGAGCCACCAUGUGUGACCAAGAUUUACUACUAUUAUUCCUUCUCUCCAGCUUUCUCCCUGUAUCCUUUCUGAACUCCCUUUCCCCUCUCAAUGCCCCAUUUCAGGCCUGGUGUGGGGAAAUGCAGCACCAGGGCAGCAUGUGUUGGUGGGAGGAUUUGGGGAGACACAUCCCCACUGCUUACUCUACCUGUCCUGGGAACUGCCCAAAGAGUGGGGGUGAAGUGGGUGAGAGGCCAGCUGGGAAACCAAAAACUGUCCUCUACAAUUCUUUUUGAAGUUUAGAGAGACCUCAUCCCUACCUACCUCAUGCCAUGCACUGGAACCAAAGUUGAAGUGGGGGAGAGUGGUGGCUGCAGAUAUACCAUGGGCAAGCCAAAACCUCCCUGCUUUGCCCUGUCCUGGCACAAAGGCACAGGUCUGUAACUACAGCAGCGUUCCCCAGCAGCAUCUGGCAUUUCUUCUGAAAUUUGCUGUAAUGCCUAGCAGAGCACUCCAUAAACUCUCCUAAAUGUAAGUAGGAAGGGUAGGAUGGGGUAGGGGAUAUGAGGGUCAGAAGGUCAGACCAGAAAGGGUGGAUUAUUAUAACACAAGCAGUCCUAAGAAUCUGAGAAUAGGCAGGUGUACCCUAAAAAAGGAAGCAGUGGGAUUUCUGAGGAAAUGCUUCAUCUACUUCACAAGUUUUCCCAGGCCCAGCUCAGGAAUAGUAACAAAUAGAAAUAAGUAGGGAUUCUGGCUGUGGAGAAGCAGACCCCUUAGGUAGAGUCCACCCCACCUUUCCAUUACCACAGUAAUUACCUUUCCACCCACAGGAGUGGUGGUAGUUGUGGGCAAGUUUGGUGGGCCCAGUGGGACAGUCAUAAACAGCCUGUCUAGUGCCCUAAUGUACCCACCCACAUGGCUGUGACAUCCUUAGCCCAGCCAGUCUAGCCCAGGAUAUAUGGUGUGUGUACCACACUCUGCUGUUUUCCUCUCCAUAAAUGUCCUUGAGGACCUAAUUCAGGUGCCUCUGCUGGGACACUUCCUGUGACACUACCAGCCUUCUCUGAUCUACUCUUUCUCUUCACUUCUAAGACUUUUACUGUCAGGCUCUCUGGUCACCUGAUCAAUCCCAGGCCUGUGAUACCUCAUAUGUUACCUUGUACCAUUAUUUAACUUUUAAUUCAUGGGUAUAAUUUUCCUUCUGAAGCUGUAAGCUCCUUGAAGCCAUGGCUCCUAGAGCUUUGAAACCCAUGCAGCAACUGGAAUAGAGCUGAGCAUUCAUUCACUCAACUCUAUAAAUAGUAUUGAGCACCUCCAACAUGGGAAGCACUGUGGUAGGUGCUGGGGAUGUGUCAGUGAACAAGAGAUGAAUUCUUCGUUGAAGGCACUUAGUAAAUAUUCGUUAAACAGCUAGGCGAGUGGACGGACAGAUGGAUGGCUUAGUGGUAAGUGGAUUGGUCUAUCUGUGGCAUCCCUUCUGCUCUAUGUUACCUCAGAGAAAAAUCUCACUUCUUUCCUAUGAUCCCACAUCUGUUCUGGGUGGAGGGAAGUCCCAGGAAGUUUAGUCUCACGUGAAGAGUAGGGAGAAAGGAAACUCAAAGAGGGGUAGUACUUACUUAAAGGCAUCCAUUCGAUGAAUGCUGGGGCCAGAAGAGACUUGGACCAAUGAGUCAUAGGGUCUCAGAGUCUUCAGACAUCAUGUAGGGCUGCUAUAGGGAUCUUUUCAGAGCAUCCCCAUCAACAGAUGUUCCCCAGCCUCUAUGCUAACUAACACCCAGUGAUGGGGCGCCUGAGACAGGCAUUCCACUGCUUGCCCCUGGUGAGUUCCCCCAUUCUCACCUCUUAAGUUGCUACAUCUAAGUAACAUCCAAAAUAGAACCAGCCCAGGCUUGGGCUGUGAUAUCCUAACCUAGAGCACAUGCACAUGUACCCACAUCUGUGCAUAUCUACCUCCAGAUCAAAAUAGCAGCCAGGGAGAUUGGCAGAGCUUGGAGUACCAGGCUGUCUUCCCAGUUUGGGACUGGCUGAGGCAAUGUGACCUCAGUGAGAGCCUGGGCCCAUUCUCAGUCUGGAAAAAGCUUAUGCAAGGAUGAGGGUGGCCUAGAAAAGUCCAGAAAACCACACAAAUGACCACCUGUUGAUUCCAAGGAGGAGACAGGGCACUUUCUCCUUUUAAAAAAGUAUCCUCUCCUCUCACUCAAGCUUAGCGUGCUCAACUGAAUAGCCAGGAAAAGCUGUUGGCGUUUGGUGAUUUGGAGGGGAGCGGGGGCUGAACCUCAGAACUUUGUCACUUUCUUGGGAACCUGAUAAGUUUCUCUCUGAUGUCCUGCUUUACCCCUAAUCUAGCUCCUUGAUCAUUUGAAUGUAACCCUAAUUGGACAAGAAUUUUAUCCCUUUCAGUAUGGACAAAAUCAACAACCCUGAGUCAGAGGCUUUUAGAGGAUGGGUAGUGAAAUGGGGGAAGAACAGAACAUUGUGGAGUGAGGGGCAGGGAGGCAGCCAGUGGGCAUGGGUAGAUUCUGGUUUUGUGAUUAGUAGUAUUAUCUCUUUAAAUUAAUUGAAAAAAUAAACUCAUUUCAGAUUUGUAUAAUUUCA